AAGUCGUAACAAGGUCUCCGUUGGUGAACCAGCGGAGGGAUCAUUAAAAAAGGGUCUGACGACUGCCCAAACCACACCGUGAACCAUUUUUCUUAUUGAUGCUCUGGCAGGCCGCCCGCUGGGGGGGCUCAGGCCGCGGUUUCGCGGUGGUCUGCCGGUGGCUCGCAAACCAAAACUCUUUUGAACGUCUCUCUGAGAAUAUCUAACUCCUCUUAGCGGGAGAAAAAAAAGUCACAACUCAUAACAAUGGAUCUCUUGGCUCUG
rnacentral:misc_RNA from 1 species